AGCGGCGGAUGGGUGAGUAACACGUGGGGAACCUGCCCCUAAGUCUGGGAUACCAUUUGGAAACAGGUGCUAAUACCGGAUAAUAAAGCAGAUCGCAUGAUCAGCUUUUGAAAGGCGGCGUAAGCUGUCGCUAAGGGAUGGCCCCGCGGUGCAUUAGCUAGUUGGUAAGGUAACGGCUUACCAAGGCGACGAUGCAUAGCCGAGUUGAGAGACUGAUCGGCCACAUAGGGACUGAGACACGGCCCAAACUCCUACGGGAGGCAGCAGUAGGGAAUCUUCCACAAUGGACGCAAGUCUGAUGGAGCAACGCCGCGUGAGUGAAGAAGGUUUUCGGAUCGUAAAGCUCUGUUGUUGGUGAAGAAGGAUAGAGGUAGUAACUGGCCUUUAUUUGACGGUAAUCAACCAGAAAGUCACGGCUAACUACGUGCCAGCAGCCGCGGUAAUACGUAGGUGGCAAGCGUUGUCCGGAUUUAUUGGGCGUAAAGCGAGCGCAGGCGGAAAAAUAAGUCUAAUGUGAAAGCCCUCGGCUUAACCGAGGAACUGCAUCGGAAACUGUUUUUCUUGAGUGCAGAAGAGGAGAGUGGAACUCCAUGUGUAGCGGUGGAAUGCGUAGAUAUAUGGAAGAACACCAGUGGCGAAGGCGGCUCUCUGGUCUGCAACUGACGCUGAGGCUCGAAAGCAUGGGUAGCGAACAGGAUUAGAUACCCUGGUAGUCCAUGCCGUAAACGAUGAGUGCUAAGUGU
rnacentral:rRNA from 1 species